GAUGAACGCUAGCUACAGGCUUAACACAUGCAAGUCGAGGGGCAGCAUGAAGUCAGCUUGCUGACUUUGAUGGCGACCGGCGCACGGGUGAGUAACGCGUAUCCAACCUUCCCCUUACUCAGGAAUAGCCCGUUGAAAGACGGAUUAAUGCCUGAUGUUCUCAUGUUGCCGCAUGGCGAUAUGAGCAAAGAUUCAUCGGUUAUGGAUGGGGAUGCGUAAGAUUAGGUAGUAGGCGGGGUAACGGCCCACCUAGCCGACGAUCUUUAGGGGUUCUGAGAGGAAGGUCCCCCACACUGGUACUGAGACACGGACCAGACUCCUACGGGAGGCAGCAGUGGGGAAUAUUGCACAAUGGGGGAAACCCUGAUGCAGCGACGCCGCGUGGAGGAAGAAGGUCUUCGGAUUGUAAACUCCUGUUGUUAGGGACGAUAAUGACGGUACCUAACAAGGAAGUGACGGCUAACUACGUG
rnacentral:rRNA from 1 species